rnacentral:lncRNA from 1 species
CAAUUUCUGCCUUGGUGUCAGCCCUGGAUGAGCUGUGGGUAUAGUAAAAACAGAGCCAGGUGGCAGCUUGGGACCACUGAGAUACAGGGAGGGAAGUGAGAUCUAAGUCAGCAGAUUUAGUAGGGUGUUUUUUUGUUUGUUUGUUUCUGCUUUUUGCCUUUUUUUUUUGUAGGAACAUUUUUUAGUGUGUUUUUUCCUUAUGUCUAGUUUUUACAAAGAUUUAGAGAACAUAGGUCAAUAGAAGGAAUACAAUCACCCCAAAUCUAUCACCCAUUGUAACAACUAAUAGCAUCUUGGUGUCCUUUCUCUAGUGUCCUAAUAUUAUUACCUAUGACAUUCCUGAAAACAAAUAGGAUCAUACUGUAAGUCCUGUUUUAUAGUUAAUAUGUGUUGAAGACCCAAUGGUUGCUGAUAGAGAGGAGGAGGAGGUCGGUGAGUAAUUACUCAAGGCACACUGAUCAUUUGUGCUGGCUGAGAAAACUGCUAAUUAAUUAAUGGAACAAACACAUGUCAUGUGCAUAGGAGGGUAUUGGUAUGUAGUUAGCACUAGAUGUUUUCUUAUAAAAUCCUUCAACAAUCCUGUGGAUAGAAUUAGCACAGACAUGCAAUAUCAUCAUUUAUUUAAUUUUUUUUCUAUUUACAGCUGCACCUGCAGCACAUGGGAGUUCCCAGGCUAGUGAUCGAGUUGGAGCUGCAGCAGCAGACCUCUGCCACAGCCAUGCCAACAUUGGAUCCAAGAUACACUGCAGCUUGUGGCAACACCAGAUCCUUAACCCACUGAAUGAGGCUAGGGGUUGAACCCACAUUCUCACGGAGACAAGAUCCUUAAUCUGCUGAGCCCCAAAUCACCUCCAGAAUAUUAUUUUUUUUGAGGAAGGUGGCUUUGUAACACAACACUUUAUUUAAAGCUGCACCUGCAGCAUAUGGAAGUUCCCAGGCUAGGGGUUGAAUUAGAGCUGCCACUGCCGGCCUAUGCCACAGCCACAGCAAUGCCAGAUCCGAGCUGCAUCUUCAACCGACACCACAGUUUAUGGCAAUGUUGGAUCUUUAUCCCACUGAGCAAGGCCAGGGAUCGAACCCGAAACCUCAUGGAUACUAGUUGGGCUCAUUACUGCUGAGCACCAAGGAGAACUCCUAUAAUGCACACUUUAAAGUAGCUUCUCUGAUUGUUUUUCAUGCACUGAAUAACUCCUGUCUAAUUUUGAAGCAAAGGCCCCCUUUUGUGCCUUAAGACCUUAGAUGAAAAUUUCAUUUGGGAUAGCCUCAUUGUCAUCAUUUCAGGGAGGAAAGGAACAAGAGCAAUGCUUUGGGUAAGAUGAUUUCCAAAAGGAUGGAUGACCAGGUCUCACUACUGCCAAGUAGCUAAGGGGAUUGCUUGUCUAUAUGCUGGAGAAAGUCAAGGUUAAUACUUUGCAACAGAUAGGUAGAAAGGUCACAGGAGACAGUUGAGAAACACAGAUGGUGAAAUAUUGAGCAGUUUUCUCCCCCAAUAUUGAUUUUUAAAAAGUAACUUCCCCAGAGUAGCGCAUGUUGUGAACAACUCUAGAUGAAAUCAUAACUUCCUAUAUUUGCAAGCAGUAAAAUGCCUGUAAUUGCAUCCCUCAGGUAUAAUUUGGGGCCACGCCCAGGCCCACUGUGGGACGCAGGUGCAGAAAGCAGAAACCCUGCAGCCGUCCUGGCACAAGCUGGCUUCACAUCUUCUCGUCCAGGAAGAGCUGAUCAGGACACGGGAUUUGGAGCCACAGACCAGGAUUCGGGUCCUGGCUCUCUCACUGAAUAGUGCCUUAUAGGGUCCCACUCAAGCAUUUUCAUCACCAUUUUGUCACUUGUAGAGUGUGUGACAAUACCUGCUUCACAGAGUUAAGGAAAGCAUGAAAUGAAUCCACAUACAGCUUUUAGCAUUUUGGCACAUAGACUGGCUGUGAUUGUUGUCCUUAACUCCCAGUAGUUGAAUGAUUGCUCAGAAACACACCUUCCUUUAGACUAGAAAUUCCUGCUUGUCUGGGAGACAUGGGGUCAUGACAAGGCUUUCCAAUAUCUUUGUUCUAAGAGGGCAGGUGGAUUUCAUUACUUGACACCGCUCAUCUCCCUGCCCCAUUUCAGCAGUGGGAAAUUGCCAGCAUAACAGAUUAGCCCAUGUAGGGAAGUAGCUAAAAGGACAGAUAUGGACCCAGCCUGCUUGGGUUUGAACUCUCGGUCUGCCUCCCACUGGCUGUGUGACUGAGGGCAAGUCACUGACACUCUCUUGGGCCCCCUGGUCAAUUUAGAUCCUAGAAGGCCGUUUGUAUUCAAUCUCUCUUGAUCUCAAUCAGUCCCUCACCGCACAAAUGUUAGGUGUGCACUCCUGGAUAUACACUUGUUUUUAGAGCUUCACUAGCUGUAAGAAUUCAUUAUCACUCCCACAAACAUUUUGGGGCAUCUAAGAUACACAGGCCCUGGGGAUUCUGAGUUGAAAGCUAUUGUGUUCAAUGGGUUCUGUUUGAUUCUUUUUUAAUUUUUAAUUUUUAAAAACUUUAUUGGAAUAUAGUUGACUUAAAAAGUUGUGUUAGUUUCACUGUUUGGUUAUUUAUAUGAGAAGCCAAAAUAGACAUCUCAUCUGUAAGUGGUUAUAGCAUUCAGAGUAUGCCGUUGAUUUAUACCAGGCACUCAGGGAAAAUAUCCAGAAGGUAAAGUUUGAGUUGAGUCCCUGUAUCAGCCAGGUCUCAUUUGGUUCUGAGUGACAGAAAUCCAACCCAAAUAAGCCUAAUGGAAAAAAGGGGAACUUAUUGGCUCAUGUAACUGGGAAAUUCAGGUGUACGCUUCAGGUGUGGCCAGAUCUAGGAAUCCAAUGAUAUAAUCUAGGGACUUUCCUUUUUCUAUCAUUUCUCUCAAUUCUUUCCCCCUCUGAGUCACUCUCUGUCACAAACAAGCUUUGUCACUGUGGCCAGGGGAGAGGGCUUCAUGCAUGUCCUCCUGGCUUGGCCUCCCUAGUGGAAAAGAGAACUGGGCUUUCUCAAUGUCCAGAGACCAGUUAUAGGGGAAGGAUUAUGAUUAUCAGGAGAUAAACAAAUAACUGUGUUUCCCCUGUCCGAACCAGUGCUCUUUGUUCAGUGCCAUAUUAGCAGUACCUAGAACAGUAUGACCUAGAACAUAACAUUGUAAAUUCUCAGUAAAUAUUUGUUAACUGAAUGAACCAGCUACAUUUUGGCCAUGUGCCCACUUCCUAUUUACAGGAGUGGGAUUUGCUACCGAAAGAAGGAGAUUGGUAGACGGAUAUUCUGAGCACCCCAAAUCGUGAUGACUUCUGUGGUCGUGAAACACGAGGAAGAUUUAGCCUUGAGCAGAGGAGUGGAAACUUCUCGGGCAUGGAGGACAGUAUGUGUAAAGGGAUGCAGUGGGGUUGGGUGGGUUGAGGACUAUGUGUAAUUUGGUCUGGAUAGGAAGGAUAUUGGAGGACAGGAGGACAGGGUGGAAAAUGGGCUUCUGGAGGAUCUUGGGUUGGGACCUCUGAUGUCACUUUUUGUCCUCCUGUGCCCCCCUCCCUUCUGCAUUCUGCUCACUGCCCUGGGCUGCUGCCCAGCAGGGGCUCUGUGACCAGUCUCCUCUGCUGUCUGGUUUCUGAUUGGGUCUGAAUGGUGGGGAUUGGUAGGAGAUGGAGGGAAGGAGGGAGGAGGGGAAGCUUGGGGCGUUCACUCCUCUGACUCUGUCCUUGCGGGGCUGUUUUGUCCCUAGAAAGAGGUAAGAAAAGACAUUAAAAGUAAGAGUUUAUAAACUUUUAUAGCAAUUUGGCAGAGAUAUUUUAUAUCUUUUAGCUGUUGAAUCUAAUAAGAAAAAACUGGGGCUUGUAUU